rfam:Ixodes scapularis strain Wikel colony gcontig_1108379637560, whole genome shotgun sequence.
UCCUGGUUAGCUCAGUUGGCAGAGCGCUCCACUGGAAAUGGAGAGAUUCCUGGUUCGAAACCAGGACCAGGCG